rnacentral:misc_RNA from 1 species
CCGUCAGUUCAGCAACUGUCUGUGAUACUUCCAAUUUAUCCAUCUUAUUGUGUGAAACCAUGAUGGAAUCAGUAAUUUGCUUUUCCAGCAAAGCAAUUUGUUCGUUCUGACUUUGAUUUCACCAUUCAACCUCUUCAUCUCCACAUGAAUCUGUUCCUUUUGGGGAUUCCUUGAAGCCUCCUCAGAUAACCGCUUCAAAGCACUUGAAUGGAGUGCCACAUCUCCAGACAAAAUCUUCUGCUGCUCCCUUAGAAGAUCAAUCUGAUCAAUUGUUUUUAUG